GGGAUUGAAAUAAGGAAAAACAAGGAGUAUCUGCAGAGUAACACAGUACUUAAAACCCAACAGAAAUGCAACUAGCCCAGGCACAACUAAGAAAACCAGUUUUGAAACAAGUUUGAACCAACAAAAAUAGCAAUUGAUGCUCAAUAAUCAGCAGGCAACCAGAAACUUAAACCAAAACGCUUGAAAAUCAACCAUAACUUAAGCCAUUUUAACCACUGACUGUUCAUAGAUGAUUUCAGAAAUGAGAGUUCCCUAGAUUACCAAAUUCUUCAAUGGAACAGUAUUCUACUAAAUACUUUCAGCUAUUUUUGGGUUUUUAGCUCUCAAAAUCUAGAUUUCUCUCUUCAAUUUAAUAGUGUUUAAGGCUCUCUAUUUAUGAAAAAUCCAAAGAGCUCAGCUAUCUACCUAUUCUCUAAUUUUU
rnacentral:lncRNA from 1 species